UUCGCAAUGCCCGAAAGGGUGAACGAGCGACGCCGCGUGCGGGAUGAAGGCCUUCGGGUUGUAAACCGCUUUUCUUAAGGAAGAACUUAAUGACGGUACUUAAGGAGUAAGAGGUUACUAACUCUGCGCCAGCCGUAGCGGUAAUACAGAGACCUCAAGCGUUAUCCGGAUUUAUUGGGCGUAAAGCGCGGGUAGGCGGCAUCGUAAGUCGGGUGUGAAAUCCCUCGGCCUAACCGAGGAAUUGCGCCCGAAACUACCUUGCUUGAGGACCAGAGGGGAGCCUGGAAUUCCUGGUGGAGCGGUGAAAUGCGUUGAUAUCAGGAGGAACACCGGCGGCGAAGGCGAGGCUCUGGCUGGUUACUGACGCUGAGACGCGAAAGCUAGGGGAGCAAACGGGAUUAGAUACCCCGGUAGUCCUAGCCGUAAACGAUGGGCACUAAGUAGAGGGGUUUU
rnacentral:rRNA from 1 species